AGGACGAACGCUGGCGGCGUACUUAACACAUGCAAGUCGAGCGGUGAUCCUCCUUCGGGAGGUGAUCAGCGGCGAACGGGUGAGUAACACGUGGGCAACCUGCCCCUCACACUGGGAUAACCUCGGGAAACCGGGGCUAAUACCGGAUACGACCUCGAGCGGCAUCUCUUGAGGUGGAAAGCUCCGACGGUGAGGGAUGGGCCCGCGGCCUAUCAGCUUGUUGGUGGGGUAAUGGCCUACCAAGGCGACGACGGGUA
rnacentral:rRNA from 1 species